GCCAGAUUUGCAGACAAGUCUGCAAAUUCGCAGACUUUUAAUUUAAGCUGCAGAUUUCUUCGAUGACGCAGAUGUUUGCAGAUUUUUUAGUUUGGUUGCAGAUAUUUGCAGAUUUUUUAGUUUGGUUGCAGAUAUUUACAGAUUUUUGAAUGAAAAGGCUUUUGAUUACACUAGCUUUCCUGACAUUUUUGUUCUUCCCAGACUUUUAAAAUUAUUAUUGCAGACAUUUGAAAAAAGUACCUGGCAUCUCUGAUGGAUGACAAAGAAAAUUAUGAAUGUAGAAUAUAUGUUUACUAAGUGUCUGCAAGGUGAACAUUCAAUAAACAAAUGUAUCAAUCUAUAACAAUGCAGCCGUUCAUGUUCGGGUUAUUAUUUAAGGUGUAAUUGACAAAUAGAACUCGCUAAGGUUAUAAAACCGCUGUUGCUGUAGUAUACCAUGAACAUUUAUACGAUGCUGGACUUGGUGUAUAUUUUUCCAGGUAGCACCAUUACUGCUGGGAUGUUUGACAUGAACAGUCGCACGUUACUGAUUUCGUGUAUAUUUCUCUAGGUA